GUUCUUGGAAGGGUUUCGGACACCUGCUCUCAACCUUAACUCCUGCAUUAUCUAAGCAUAAUCCUAACACAAUGUAAACUAAGGGCCUGAUCCAGCAACCACUGCAAUCAAUGGGAGCCUUCCAGUGACCUCUAUGACCACUGCAUCAGCUGCCAUAAGAAUGGGCAGAUUUCUAGUUGCUUGACUCAUGCGAGUACUCCCAUUGGCUUUAAUGGGAUUGUUCAGUUGCAGGUAGAGGAUUAUUCUUUGAACUCAAGUGUGUUUGAAGAACAAGGGUGAAAUCCUGGAUCCACUGAAGUCAAUGGGAGAUUAGCCAUCAACUGGAAUAGAACCAAGAUACAUUAUAGCUACUUUUACUUUUCACCCUUAAAUUUUAUUGUUGGCACAACCCCUCCCAAAUAACAUCUUGUUAUUCUUGCAAAAAACAAAUACGGUGUUUUUGUUACAUACAGAAUUAACACAUCUUUAUCAAUAAAAG